AGGGAACGCUGGCGGCAGGCCUAACACAUGCAAGUCGAACGCACCUUCGGGUGAGUGGCGGACGGGUGAGUAACACGUGGGAACGUACCUUUUGGUUCGGAAUAACGCAGGGAAACUUGUGCUAAUACCGAACGUGCCCUUCGGGGGAAAGAUUUAUCGCCAUUAGAGCGGCCCGCGUUAGAUUAGCUAGUUGGUGAGGU
rnacentral:rRNA from 1 species